CCUACGGGUGGCAGCAGUGGGGAAUAUUGGACAAUGGGCGGAACCCUGACCCAGCGACGCCGCGUGAGUGAAGAAGUAUUUCGGUAUGUAAAGCUCUAUCAGCAGGGAAGAAAAGGACGGUACCUGACUAAGAAUCCACGGACAAUUACGUGACAGCAGCCGCGGUAAUACGGAGGGGGCAAGCGUUAUCCGGAUUUACUGGGUGUAAAGGGAGCGUAGACGGUGAGGCAAGUCAGAUGUGAAAGGCCGGGGCUCAACCUGGGGACUGCAUUGGAAACUGGUGAACUGGAGUACAGGAGAGGUAAGCGGAAUUCCUGGUGUAGCGGUGAAAUGCGUAGAUAUCAGGAGGAACACCAGUGGCGAAGGCGGCUUACUGGACUGUAACUGACGUUGAGGCUCGAAAGCGUGGGUAGCAAACAGGAUUAGAUACCCUAGUAGUC
rnacentral:rRNA from 1 species